GAGUGUGGAUCUGAUGGUCCAAAACUCCUCCUAGUUCCUGGAGUUAGUGAGCAUAGCAAAAUAUGAAUGGUUGCGUAUUAAUUAUUUUUUCUAUUUUAUCUUGUUUUACCGGUUCAUCUUCUAUGUAAUACUUAUUAAAAAGUUUUAAUUGUUUUUAGUUUUAAUUAUUUUUCCUUUUGUUUGGAAUGAAAUAUACGUUUGUUUUGUAU
rnacentral:lncRNA from 1 species